rnacentral:rRNA from 1 species
UACGAGGGGGGCAAAUGUUGUUCGGAAUCACUGGGCGUAAAGGGAGCGUAGGCGGGUUUCUAAGUCAGGUGUUUAAUCCCGGGGCCCAACCCCGGACAGGCACUUGAAACUGGGAAUCUUGAAAAGUGGAGAGGUCAGUGGAAUUGGGGGUGUAGCGGUGGAAUGCGUAGAGAUCCCCAAGAACACCAGUUGCGAAGGCGGCUGACUGGACACAUAUUGACGCUGAGGCUCGAAAGCAUGGGGAGCAAACAGG